UGAGACAACUCAGUGACACUAACGUUUAUGAAAAACUAACACAAGACCCCACUUUAAAAAUUCAACAGGUUUUAACUUUUUUUUAAUUAGUGGUCGCGAUCAGAAUAUUUUAAGUAAACAAGAAUUCAAAUUUUUAAAUGUUUCCCACCCUAAAAUUCCUGUUAUUUAUUUUUUACCUAAAAUCCAUAAAAAUGUCACAAACCCUCCUGGUAGGCCCAUUGUGUCAGGGAUUAACUCCAUUUUAUCUAAUUU